UGGGGAAUUUUCCGCAAUGGGCGAAAGCCUGACGGAGCAAUACCGCGUGAGGGAGGAAGGCUUUUGGGUUGUAAACCUCUUUUCUCAAGGAAGAAGAUCUGACGGUACUUGAGGAGUCAGCAUCGGCUAACUCCGUGCCAGCAGCCGCGGUAAUACGGAGGAUGCAAGCGUUAUCCGGAAUGAUUGGGGGUAAAGCGUCUGCAGGUGGCUAUGCAAGUCUGCUGUUAAAGAGUGGAGCUCAACUCCAUAAGGGCAGUGGAAACUGCAUAACUAGAGUACGUUCGGGGUAGAGGGAAUUCCUGGUGUAGCGGUGAAAUGCGUAGAUAUCAGGAAGAACACCCAGGGGGAAGCCAGCAUACUGGACAGGUCCUGACACUCAGGUGCGACAGCGUGGGGAGCGAACCGGAUUAGAUACCCCCGUAGUCC
rnacentral:rRNA from 1 species